rnacentral:rRNA from 1 species
UGGGGAUAUUGCACAAUGGGGGAAACCCUGAUGCAGCGACGCCGCGUGGAGGAAGAAGGUUUUCGGAUUGUAAACUCCUGUCGUUAGGGACGAUAAUGACGGUACCUAACAAGAAAGCACCGGCUAACUACGUGCCAGCAGCCGCGGUAAAACGUAGGGUGCAAGCGUUGUCCGGAAUUACUGGGUGUAAAGGGAGCGCAGGCGGACCGGCAAGUUGGAAGUGAAAACCAUGGGCUCAACCCAUGAAUUGCUUUCAAAACUGCUGGCCUUGAGUAGUGCAGAGGUAGGCGGAAUUCCCGGUGUAGCGGUGGAAUG